rnacentral:rRNA from 1 species
UCCCACUCCCGUCCCACUUAAGCGCGCCACCGCGGAAUCUUAGUUUUUCCAUCCGGGCAGCGUACCAACCAUUCGAAGGUGGUGAGAAACUGUAUUACAAUUUAACAAAGAGGACACUCGGGGGAAAGGGGUGAAAAAUCCAUGGGAAUUACCCCGACAUCGGUGGGCACACUCCUGGGAAUCUCUGGCAAUAUCCGCUAAAGUCCUAUCGGGGGAAAGCAGGGGUUUUUUGGCCUUUGCGCAUUUGGAUGAGACCAGUUAGGAUUAGCUUGUUGCGUAGGAACGGCUCACCCAAGGCGAUGAUCCGUAGCUGGUUCGAGAGGAUGUUCAGCCCCACUGGGAUUGAGACCCGGCCCAGACUCCUACGGGAGGCAGCAGUGGGGAAUAUUGGCCAAUGGGCGAAAGCCUGAUCCAGCCAUGCCGCGUGUGUGAAGAAGGCCUUCGGGUUGUAAAGCACUUUCAGCGAGGAAGAACGCUUCGGGAUUAAUACUCCCGAGGAAAGACAUCACUCGCAGAAGAAGCACCGGCUAACUCCGUGCCAGCAGCCGCGGUAAUACGGAGGGUGCAAGCGUUAAUCGGAAUUACUGGGCGUAAAGCGCGCGUAGGUGGCUAAGUCAGCCAGGUGUGAAAGCCCCGGGCUCAACCUGGGAACGGCAUCUGGAACUGCUUGGCUAGAGUGCAGGAGAGGAAGGUAGAAUUCCCGGUGUAGCGGUGAAAUGCGUAGAGAUCGGGAGGAAUACCAGUGGCGAAGGCGGCCUUCUGGACUGACACUGACACUGAGGUGCGAAAGCGUGGGUAGCAAACAGGAUUAGAUACCCUGGUAGUCCACGCCGUAAACGAUGUCAACUAGCCGUUGGGUCCCUUGAGGACUUAGUGGCGCAGCUAACGCAAUAAGUUGACCGCCUGGGGAGUACGGCCGCAAGGUUAAAACUCAAAUGAAUUGACGGGGGCCCGCACAAGCGGUGGAGCAUGUGGUUUAAUUCGAUGCAACGCGAAGAACCUUACCUACCCUUGACAUCCAGAGGACUUUCCAGAGAUGGAUUGGUGCCUUCGGGAACUCUGAGACAGGUGCUGCAUGGCUGUCGUCAGCUCGUGUUGUGAAAUGUUGGGUUAAGUCCCGUAACGAGCGCAACCCCUAUCCUUAUUUGCCAGCGAGUAAUGUCGGGAACUCUAAGGAGACUGCCGGUGACAAACCGGAGGAAGGUGGGGACGACGUCAAGUCAUCAUGGCCCUUACGGGUAGGGCUACACACGUGCUACAAUGGCAAGUACAAAGGGUUGCAAUACGGCGACGUGGAGCCAAUCCCAUAAAGCUUGCCUCAGUCCGGAUUGGAGUCUGCAACUCGACUCCAUGAAGUCGGAAUCGCUAGUAAUCGUGGAUCAGAAUGCCACGGUGAAUACGUUCCCGGGCCUUGUACACACCGCCCGUCACACCAUGGGAGUGGACUGCACCAGAAGUGGUUAGCCUAACCUCGGAGGCGAUCACCACGGUUCUC